GUGCUUGCUUCGGCAGCACAUAUACUAAAAUUGGAACGAUACAGAGAAGAUUAGCGUGACCCCUGCACAAGGAGGCCAUGCAGAUUUGUGAAGCGUUCCAUAUUUUU
ensembl:snRNA U6 U6 spliceosomal RNA